rnacentral:rRNA from 1 species
CGGGUGAGUAACACGUGAGUAACCUGCCUUACACAAGGGGAUAGCCGUUGGAAACGACGAAUAAUACCCUAUGAAACUAUCACUUCGCAUGAAGCGAUAGUCAAAGUGUUAGCGGUGUAAGAUGGACUUGCGUCUGAUUAGCUAGUUGGUGAGAAAAGAGCCCACCAAGGCAACGAUCAGUAGCCGGCUUGAGAGAGUGUACGGCCACAUUGGGACUGAGACACGGCCCAG